CGCUGGCGGCGCGCCUAACACAUGCAAGUCGAACGAGAGAUGAGGAGCUUGCUCUUCAAAUCGAGUGGCGAACGGGUGAGUAACGCGUGAGGAACCUGCCUCAAAGAGGGGGACAACAGUUGGAAAUGACUGCUAAUACCGCAUAAGCCCACGGCUCGGCAUCGAGCAGAGGGAAAAGGAGCAAUCCGCUUUGAGAUGGCCUCGCGUCCGAUUAGCUAGUUGGUGAGGUAACGGCCCACCAAGGCGACGAUCGGUAGCCGGACUGAGAGGUUGAACGGCCACAUUGGGACUGAGACACGGCCCAGACUCCUACGGGAGGCAGCAGUGGGGAAUAUUGCACAAUGGGGGAAACCCUGAUGCAGCGACGCCGCGUGGAGGAAGAAGGUCUUCGGAUUGUAAACUCCUGUUGUUGAGGAAGAUAAUGACGGUACUCAACAAGGAAGUGACGGCUAACUACGUG
rnacentral:rRNA from 1 species